GACGAACGCUGGCGGCGUGCUUAACACAUGCAAGUCGAGCGGUAAGGCCCUUUCGGGGGUACACGAGCGGCGAACGGGUGAGUAACACGUGGGUGACCUGCCCUCAGCUCUGGGAUAAGCCUGGGAAACCGGGUCUAAUACUGGAUAUGACUCCAUGACGCAUGUUGUGGGGUGGAAAGCCUUGUGCGGCUGAGGAUGGGCCCGCGGCCUAUCAGCUUGUUGGUGGGGNGAUGGCCUACCAAGGCGACGACGGGUAGCCGGCCUGAGAGGGCGACCGGCCACACUGGGACUGAGACACGGCCCAGACUCCUACGGGAGGCAGCAGUGGGGAAUCUUGCGCAAUGGGCGAAAGCCUGACGCAGCGACGCCGCGUGAGGGAUGACGGCCU
rnacentral:rRNA from 1 species